AGUGAACGCUGGCGGCGUGCCUAAUACAUGCAAGUCGAACGGAGUGGCGCACGGGUGAGUAAUGUAUAGCUAAGCAGCCCUACACUAGAGGGGAACAGUUGGAAACGACUGCUAAUACUUUCCAUGGUAGGAGGAGGCUGUAUUGUAACAGCUAGUUGGUGAGGUAAAGGCUGACCAAGCCUAUGACGCAUCACUGGUCUGAGAGGAUGAUCAGUCGCACUUUAACGGAGGCACGGUUCAGGAUUCUACGGGAGGGAGCAGUACGGAAUAAUGCUCAAUGGGCGAGACCCUGAAGCAGCAACGGCUCGUGGAGGAUGAUACUUUGCGGAGCGUAAACUCCUUUUGUUAAGGAAGCGGUACCUAACGAAUAAGCACCGGCUAACUCCGUGCCAGCAGCCGCGGUAAUAC
rnacentral:rRNA from 1 species